rnacentral:misc_RNA from 1 species
CGCACCUUGCGCCCUUUGGUAUUCCGAAGGGCACGCCUGUUUGAGUGUCAUGUUACUCUCAAUCCAACAGCUCUAUGUUGCUUGGAUUGGAUUUGGGAGCCUGCUGGCCUUGUUUACCUGGGUCGGCUCUCCUUGAAUGCAUGAGUGAGCAUCUGGUUCGCGUUGCUAGUGUGAUAGUCUGUUCAUCAUUAGCGGCGCUUGCCUAACGGGCUUGCUUUCGAACCGUCUUCUCAACGGAGACAAUCAUUGACCUCUUUGACCUCGAAUCAGAUAGGGAUACCCGCUGAACUUAA